GGAGGAUACGAUGCUUUGGUAGCCCUCAGGGAGGGCCAUCCAAUCUGGAUGCAUGCAAUUAACCUACAUGGCAGGUACUGAGUUAUGUAUAUUUAUGAGGCGGAAUCUGCCCCAGAGGUUAUACCAGAGAGAAAAUCUAGAUGCAUGCAUUCGUGUCCUUCAGUUCUUGGUGGGGCAGGUUAUACCAGAGAGAGAAUCUAGAUGCAUGCAUUCGUGUCCUUCAGUUCUUGGUGGGGCUGGCGUGGUGCAUUUGUGAUUUAACACCACUCCUAUGAUUUGCAACAACCGGCACGUGGGCUGACCUUGUGUGCCUAGUUGAUCUAGUUGAUGGAUGCCUUAUUGGAUCAAUCCACACUAUAGGGUGGCAACGAGUCGGGUCGGAUUUGGAUUUGGAUUUGGAUUUGGAUAGAGACAGAUAUGGAUGAUAAUAUUAAAAAUCUUGGUCCAUAUCCAACCUGAACUAAUAAUGGGUCAAGAUGCCAUGAUGUAUGCUUGCCCGCAAGUUUGGAGCCACCAUCGGAAAUGAUUUAUUUGACCCUAAUCUAAUUAUUUUGUAAGGCUCUAUCUUUGAUCAACUC
rnacentral:lncRNA from 1 species